UACAGAGGUCCCGAGCGUUGUUCGGAUUCAUUGGGCGUAAAGGGUGCGUAGGCGGCUACUUAAGUCGGAUGUGAAAGCCCCUGGCUCAACUGGGGAAGUGCACCCGAAACUGAGUGGCUUGAGUACAAAAGAGGGUCGCGGAAUUCCCGGUGUAGAGGUGAAAUUCGUAGAUAUCGGGAGGAACACCGGUGGCGAAGGCGGCGACCUGGGUUGAUACUGACGCUGAGGCGCGAAAGCGUGGGGAGCAAACAGG
rnacentral:rRNA from 1 species